rnacentral:lncRNA from 1 species
UGGUCCACCAAAAAUAUGUUAGGAAGGAACCUAGCAGCUAAGAUCCAUUGGUUAAAAGACUCUGCCAAGUUAUUGUCCAUCACUCCCCACCUACAAUCUUAAAAAAAUACAUUAGCCCAUUGUGUAGGCUGAGUACUCAAGAUCCAAUCUCUGGCCAAUGGCAUCUUGAAGACUAUGUCAUGAAAGUAUCGUUCGAACUCC